rnacentral:rRNA from 1 species
UUGCUCCAUCGAAAGAAAAAGAGUGGCGAACGGGUGAGUAACACGUGGGUAACCUGCCCAUCAGAAGGGGAUAACACUUGGAAACAGGUGCUAAUACCGUAUAACACUAUUUUCCGCAUGGAAGAAAGUUGAAAGGCGCUUUUGCGUCACUGAUGGAUGGACCCGCGGUGCAUUAGCUAGUUGGUGAGGUAACGGCUCACCAAGGCAACGAUGCAUAGCCGACCUGAGAGGGUGAUCGGCCACACUGGGACUGACACACGGCCCAGACUCCUACGGGAGGCAGCAGUAGGGAAUCUUCGGCAAUGGACGAAAGUCUGACCGAGCAACGCCGCGUGAGUGAAGAAGGUUUUCGGAUCGUAAAACUCUGUUGUUAGAGAAGAACAAGGAUGAGAGUAAAAUGUUCAUCCCUUGACGGUAUCUAACCAGAAAGCCACGGCUAACUACGUGCCAGCAGCCGCGGUAAUACGUAGGUGGCAAGCGUUGUCCGGAUUUAUUGGGCGUAAAGCGAGCGCAGGCGGUUUCUUAAGUCUGAUGUGAAAGCCCCCGGCUCAACCGGGGAGGGUCAUUGGAAACUGGGAGACUUGAGUGCAGAAGAGGAGAGUGGAAUUCCAUGUGUAGCGGUGAAAUGCGUAGAUAUAUGGAGGAACACCAGUGGCGAAGGCGGCUCUCUGGUCUGUAACUGACGCUGAGGCUCGAAAGCGUGGGGAGCGAACAGGAUUAGAUACCCUGGUAGUCCACGCCGUAAACGAUGAGUGCUAAGUGUUGGAGGGUUUCCGCCCUUCAGUGCUGCAGCAGACGCAUUAAGCACUCCGCCUGGGGAGUACGACCGCAAGGUUGAAACUCAAAGGAAUUGACGGGGGCCCGCACAAUCGGUGGAGCAUGUGGUUUAAUUCGAAGCAACGCGAAGAACCUUACCAGGUCUUGACAUCCUUUGACCACUCUAGAGAUAGAGCUUCCCCUUCGGGGGCAAAGUGACAGGUGGUGCAUGGUUGUCAUCAGC